rnacentral:rRNA from 1 species
AUUGAACGCUGGCGGCAUGAUUUACACAUGCAAGUCGAACGGUAACAGGCCGCCAGGUGCUGACGAGUGGCGAACGGGUGCGUAAUGCAUCGGAACGUGCCCAGUCGUGGGGGAUAACUACUCGAAAGAGUAGCUAAUACCGCAUACGAUCUAUGGAUGAAAGCGGGGGACCGUAAGGCCUCGCGCGAUUGGAGCGGCCGAUGUCAGAUUAGGUAGUUGGUGGGGUAAAGGCUCACCAAGCCAACGAUCUGUAGCUGGUCUGAGAGGACGACCAGCCACACUGGGACUGAGACACGGCCCAGACUCCUACGGGAGGCAGCAGUGGGGAAUUUUGGACAAUGGGCGCAAGCCUGAUCCAGCAAUGCCGCGUGCAGGAAGAAGGCCUUCGGGUUGUAAACUGCUUUUGUACGGAACGAAACGGCUCUGGUUAAUACCCGGGGCUAAUGACGGUACCGUAAGAAUAAGCACCGGCUAACUACGUG